rnacentral:tRNA from 1 species
GCCCGGGUGGCGGAAUUGGCAGACGCGCACGGUUGAGGGCCGUGUGGGUAACACCGUACGAGUUCAAGUCUCGUCCCGGGCACCA